rnacentral:rRNA from 1 species
UACGUAGGGUGCAAGCGUUUAAUCGGAAUUACUGGGCGUAAAGCGUGCGCAGGCGGUUUGUAAGUCUGUCGUGAAAGCCCCGGGCUCAACCUGGGAAUUGCGAUGGAGACUGCAAGGCUUGAAUCUGGCAGAGGGGGUAGAAUUCCACGUGUAGCAGUGAAAUGCGUAGAGAUGUGGAGGAACACCGAUGGCGAAGGCAGCCCCCUGGGUCAAGAUUGACGCUCAUGCACGAAGCGUGGGAGCAAACAGG